rnacentral:rRNA from 1 species
GACGAACCGUGCAAACGUUACUCGGAAUCACUGGGCUUAAAGCGCACGUAGGCGGCGGCGUAAGUCAGAGGUGAAAUCCCAUCGGCUCAACCGUGGAAUUGCCUCUGAUACUGCGUUGCUGGAGGGGGAACGGGGCAUCUGGAACUUCCGGUGGAGCGGUGAAAUGUGUUGAUAUCGGAAGGAACGCCGGUGGCGAAAGCGAGAUGCUGGGUCCUUUCUGCCGCUGAGGUGCGAAAGCUAGGGUAGCGAACGCG